rnacentral:rRNA from 1 species
UGCCAUAAGAUGAGCCCAAGUGGGAUUAGGUAGUUGGUGGGGUAAAGGCCUACCAAGCCGACGAUCUCUAGCUGGUCUGAGAGGAUGACCAGCCACACUGGAACUGAGACACGGUCCAGACUCCUACGGGAGGCAGCAGUGGGGAAUAUUGCACAAUGGGGGGAACCCUGAUGCAGCCAUGCCGCGUGAAUGAAGAAGGCCUUCGGGUUGUAAAGUUCUUUCGGUGAUGAGGAAGGGUGAUGUUUUAAUAGAGCAUUACAUUGACGUUAGUCACAGAAGAAGCACCGGCUAACUCCGUGCCAGCAGCCGCGGUAAUACGGAGGGUGCGAGCGUUAAUCGGAAUGACUGGGCGUAAAGGGCACGCAGGCGGUGACUUAAGUGAGAUGUGAAAGCCCCGAGCUUAACUUGGGAAUUGCAUUUCAUACUGGGUGGCUAGAGUAUUUUAGGGAGGGGUAGAAUUCCACGUGUAGCGGUGAAAUGCGUAGAGAUGUGGAGGAAUACCGAAGGCGAAGGCAGCCCCUUGGGAAAAUACUGACGCUCAUGUGCGAAAGCGUGGGGAGCAAACAGGAUUAGAUACCCUGGUAGUCCACGCUGUAAACGCUGUCGAUUUGGGGAUUGGGCUUAGAGCUUGGUGCCCGUAGCUAACGUGAUAAAUCGACCGCCUGGGGAGUACGGCCGCAAGGUUAAAACUCAAAUGAAUUGACGGGGGCC